rnacentral:lncRNA from 1 species
AAAAGUUGAGUUCUACAUGUUAGAGGUGUCCAAUUGUUAUGAAACUUUAAAUUGGAGGUCCUUAUAUGGUAAUUAUACCAUUGGUAACUUGGUAGACAAAAAUGGACAUGAGAUAAGUGAAAUAGAAAAUUUUUAAGUUAGAGGCAAUUUGGUAAUCUAGUAAUUAAAAUGAAUUAAAAGGGAAAAAGAUGGCAAAAAUCAUCAUCUUCUUCAUAUGAACGAAAUCAGCAAGGGGGGAAGCCAUAGUUAGGGUUUUCAAGCUUC